CGGGUCUAAGCUGGGGGCAGGCCUCUUCUUAAAUACCCUCAUUCCGGCUUCUCCCUCCGAGGUUCACAGCCCCGCCUCGGCACUGGGGCCAAUCAAACCACAGGUUGCUGAAGCUCGGGGCCAAUGCACAGGGCUGUCCUUAAUUCCUCUCUACGGUUUGAAACUGUCAGGUUGCGGCCCAGCUGCCCGGUGUGUUUGCGGUUUGCUUAGCGGCGACGCGUAUUUGUGCAGAAUGUCAUCAGAUGAGGAGAAAUGUUCACUUCCAGUAUUGCCACAUGACUCUGAUCAAGGCAGUUCUGUCUCUUCAGAUCUUCAGGUAGGAAGAAAUAUCUAAAUUUGUCAUCACUUUUUUAUUUUAAAGAGUUGAUGAUAUGAAAGAAAACUAGGAAUACGUUUUUCAUUCAUACAUUCCAUUUACAAAGGAGUCUUUCAAUUUAUAAUAGUAUCAAACUUUGGAAAUUAUCUUACACUCUUUUACCCUUUUAGGACAAAAUCAUGACCUCUUUAAACACUUUGUACAAGGGCUUCAAACAAAACACAGUAAGAGGAGAAGUUGAAAAUUUCUAGACAUU
rnacentral:lncRNA from 1 species